rnacentral:misc_RNA from 1 species
UUUCCGUAGGUGAACCUGCGGAAGGAUCAUUAAAUAGUAGCCCCCACUUGUGGGGGCGAACAAGAACCCACCCUUUGUCUUUGGUGUACCUUACGUUUCCCCGGCAGGUCCGCCUGCCAUCGGGGACAUACACAAAACCUAUUUCGUAGUAUGCAGUAAACGUCAACCUACAAAUAAUCAAAACUUUCAACAACGGAUCUCUUGGUUCUGGCAUCGAUGAAGAACGCAGC